AGCGAACGCUGGCGGCAGGCCUACACAUGCAAGUCGAACGAACCUUUCGGGGUUAGUGGCGGACGGGUGAGUAACACGUGGGAACGUGCCUUUAGGUUCGGAAUAACUCAGGGAAACUUGUGCUAAUACCGAAUGUGCCCUUCGGGGGAAAGAUUAAUCGCCUUUAGAGCGGCCCGCGUCUGAUUAGCUAGUUGGUUGAGGUAAUGGCUCACCAAGGCGACGAUCAGUAGCUGGUCUGAGAGGAUGAUCAGCCACAUUGGGACUGAGACACGGCCCAAACUCCUACGGGAGGCAGCAGUGGGGAAUCUUGCGCAAUGGGCGAAAGCCUGACGCAGCCAUGCCGCGUGAAUGAUGAAGGUCUUAGGAUUGUAAAAUUCUUUCACCGGGGACGAUAAUGACGGUACCCGGAGAAGAAGCCCCGGCUAACUUCGUG
rnacentral:rRNA from 1 species